rnacentral:rRNA from 1 species
UACGGGGGGGGCAAGCGUUGUUCGGAAUUACUGGGCGUAAAGCGUGCGUAGACGGUUAUUUAAGUCAGGGGUGAAAGACGGUUGCUCAACAAUCGCAGUGCCUUUGAUACUGGUGUUCUUGGGUAACCUUGAGGUAGGCGGAAUGGGUGGUGUAGCGGUGAAAUGCAUAGAUACCACCCAGAACUCCGAUUGCGAAGGCAGCCUACUGGAGGUCAACCGACGCUCAGGCACGAAAGCGUGGGGAUCAAACAGG